UAUAGCCGGGACAACCGCUCUCAUAGCCAUUGUACAAGGCUCUAACCUAAUUGUGGCCAAUGUGGGUGAUUCUCGUGGUGUAAUGUAUGAUUCACGUGGCAUAGCAAUACCAUUGUCCUUUAAUCAUAAGCCGCAAGAGGUGCGUGAACAUAAACGGAUUCAUGAUGCAGGCGUUUUUAUAGACUUUCGUGGAGUUUGAAGUUUGGCUGGUGUAUUGGCCACAUCACGUGCCUUGGGUGAUUAUCCGUUAAAAGAUAAGAACCUAGUCAUGGCCACACCGGAUAUAUUGACAUUUGAGCUAAAUAAUCACAAACCCCAUUUUCUUAUACUUGCCUCUGAUGGCCUUUGGGAUACAUUUAGCAAUGAGGAAACCUGCCAAAUCAUUCGCCAGGGAAUCGUAUAAGCGUGGAGCUUUGGACAAUAUAACCGUAUUGGUCAUAAUAUUGAAAGACGAUGUUUAUAAAAUUGGCAAUAGCAACACCAACAGCAAAAGGAAUAAAGCACCAACUCUUGCCAAAUCCUCAUCAUUAGCAAAUGCUCGGGCAGAUGCUGCUGCGGACGCCUCCGGUUCGUCCUCUUCUUCUGCUGUCAAACGCUCCAAUUCGAUCAAAACCAAAUAAGCAGCUACUUACAACCCUAGAGUGCCUCUUUACUACUAUACUUUAAACUGAGCAAAAAAAAAA